AACAGUUUUCGUUGUUAUUUAUAUUAUCAAAAUCUGUUCUUUUCGGUUUAUACAUCAGCAAUGGCAAGCGAUAAUCAAGAAAUUUGAAAAUGUAGAGUGAUAUUUCUGUUCUCUGUCCGAAAGUAACUGAAUGUUGAGCGCAUGUCUAAUUACGUGGGUAGUGGUAUUGCGUAGGAGACAUUUCCUCGCAGACAUUGGAAGGAUCCGAUUAGUCGAGCGCGAUACAUCAUCUGGAAGUAAUGUAACUUUGAGGGAGCUUUCAGAAUUAAAUUUUCAUUUUUUUUUGUGCUAGUAAUUCGAUCUUAACCUUAACAUGUAUCAAAGUGACUCUAGAAAACCAGAGAGGACCCAGCAUUGCGAUAUUUUUUUAUUAAAGUGCGGCAGCUCCCAUUAUCAUCUAUGACGAGUGACAGUGACUUUUUUGAAGUUUAUCUGCCUGAGAAGGGAGACAACAAUAAAUAUCAGGCACGUAACAUUUUUAAUUCUACAGAGAAAAUCGGAGAAUAUGGUGACUUUUAUGAAGUUUAUCUGCCUGAGAAAGUCAAGUGUCAUAUACCGAAUUCUUCCGUUGAACAUCGGGGCAUUAGAGAAUGUAUCCACAGACUCGGCCGCAAUAUUUCGAAAUUUUUCUGUUGGAAUGGGCAAACCGAGAUUGCAGAAAGAAUUCCUGUUCCAAUUCGCUCAAGAAAACUAGAUUUUAGUAAGUAAUUUAUUGCCGUUAGUUGCUCUUUCAUUUUCAAAGGGAACAAGUUAGUCAAGGAAAAAUCAAGAUGCCGGCAAUAUAUGAUUUUUACAUAUCAUUAUGAAAAUGAGCCAUCGAUAGCAUCUAUCCAUGACAUUCUCAGAACAUCAAGAUGAUGUAAAAAUGAUUUAUAAUUUCCUUUUUAUAAAGUAAUUUAUAUAAAUUGAUACAUUAGAA